rnacentral:lncRNA from 1 species
UCAGAGACAGACCCAUGCAUUUGCCCACUGCUUGACAAGCCUCUCUCUUGCCUUUCAGAGCUCCUACUGCCCCACUCCUCCAGCCUCCGUCAGGAGAAGGCAGUACGACAGAGAGCUCCGGGAGAGGAGGGAGGCGUGGGCAAAGGAGCCAAGGUGGAAACCAGGGCAGCUCUCCCAGCAGCAGUAAGUGUGCACAGCCCCAGUGUGGCCGAGUGCAGCUGAAGAGCAGGGAGCUGGCAGCRGGUCAAAGAUCCCGACCCAGAGCCGUGGGACUGGAUAUGGCAUCUUCUGAUUUCUCCUGKCCUGGGAAUGCCCUGGGUCAGCCCUGGACUCCUGGUUCCUCUCCACAGCCCGAAGCAAAUGCUUUGGUCUUGCGCUGAGUUGAGGACUACAGGCACGAGUCCCUGCCAGCAAUCCAGAGCCAGCGCCGGACGGGGGUGCCUAAAGCCUGGCAGGAGGAGGAGAAGAAGAGGGCAGAGCGCAACCCCUGCAGGGCUUACGGAGAGGAGCAGCUCAUCUGCACCGGGAAGAAGAUGCCCUUGGAGCAGCGGAGGGGAAGGCGCUAGGAACGGCUGCCRUGCRAAGGGGAGACCACCCUGUACCUGAGAUGGACUUCUCUGCAGGGAAUAAAGAGAGAGGUGCUGC